UACAGAGGGGGCAAGCGUUGUUCGGAAUUACUGGGCGUAAAGGGCGCGUAGGCGGCCUGUUAAGUCAGACGUGAAAUCCCUCGGCUCAACCGGGGAACUGCGUCUGAUACUGGCGGGCUUGAAUUCGGGAGAGGGAUGUGGAAUUCCAGGUGUAGCGGUGAAAUGCGUAGAUAUCUGGAGGAACACCGGUGGCGAAGGCGGCAUCCUGGACCGACAUUGACGUUGAGGCGCGAAAGCCAGGGGAGCAAACGGG
rnacentral:rRNA from 1 species